AGUGAACGCUGGCGGCGUGGAUUAGGCAUGCAAGUCGCGCGAUCCUUGCUUGAAAUUUAUUGAAGUGCUUGCACGGAUUUAAAUGGAUGGCGCUGGAUAGCGGCAAACGGGUGAGUAAUGCGCGAGCAACUUUCCCUUGAGACGGGCAUAGCACCGUGAAAACGGUGGUAAUUCCCGAUAGUCUCUUAUCUUCGCAUGGAGAUUUGAGUAAACGGUGGGGAUCUUCGGACCUACCGCUUAAGGAUGGGCUCGCGUCCUAUCAGCUUGUUGGUGGGGUAAUGGCCUACCAAGGCGUAUGACGGGUAGCCGGCCUGAGAGGGUGACCGGCCACACUGGGACUGAGACACUGCCCAGACUCCUACGGGAGGCUGCAGUCGAGAAUCUUCCUCAAUGGACGAAAGUCUGAAGGAGCGACGCCGCGUGCAGGA
rnacentral:rRNA from 1 species